CCCGUAACGAGCGCAACCCUUGUCCUUAGUUACCAGCACGUUAUGGUGGGCACUCUAAGGAGACUGCCGGUGACAAACCGGAGGAAGGUGGGGAUGACGUCAAGUCAUCAUGGCCCUUACGGCCUGGGCUACACACGUGCUACAAUGGUCGGUACAGAGGGUUGCCAAGCCGCGAGGUGGAGCUAAUCCCAUAAAACCGAUCGUAGUCCGGAUCGCAGUCUGCAACUCGACUGCGUGAAGUCGGAAUCGCUAGUAAUCGCGAAUCAGAAUGUCG
rnacentral:rRNA from 1 species